GACGAACGCUGGCGGCGUGCUUAACACAUGCAAGUCGAACGGAAAGGCCCUGCUUUUGUGGGGUGCUCGAGUGGCGAACGGGUGAGUAACACGUGAGUAACCUGCCCUUGACUUUGGGAUAACUUCAGGAAACUGGGGCUAAUACCGGAUAGGAGCUCCUGCUGCAUGGUGGGGGUUGGAAAGUUUCGGCGGUUGGGGAUGGACUCGCGGCUUAUCAGCUUGUUGGUGGGGUAGUGGCUUACCAAGGCUUUGACGGGUAGCCGGCCUGAGAGGGUGACCGGCCACAUUGGGACUGAGAUACGGCCCAGACCCCUACGGGAGGCAGCAGUGGGGAAUAUUGCACAAUGGGCGGAAGCCUGAUGCAGCAACGCCGCGUGCGGGAUGACGGCCUUCGGGUUGUAAACCGCUUUCGCCUGUGACGAAGCGUGAGUGACGGUAAUGGGUAAAGAAGCACCGGCUAACUACGUGCCAGCAGCCGCGGUGAUACGUANGGUGCGAGCGUUGUCCGGAUUUAUUGGGCGUAAAGGGCUCGUAGGUGGUUGAUCGCGUCGGAAGUGUAAUCUUGGGGCUUAACCCUGAGCGUGCUUUCGAUACGGGUUGACUUGAGGAAGGUAGGGGAGAAUGGAAUUCCUGGUGGAGCGGUGGAAUGCGCAGAUAUCAGGAGGAACACCAGUGGCGAAGGCGGUUCUCUGGGCCUUUCCUGACGCUGAGGAGCGAAAGCGUGGGGAGCGAACAGGCUUAGAUACCCUGGUAGUCCACGCUGUAAACGGUGGGUACUAGGUGUGGGGUCCAUUCCACGGGUUCCGUGCCGUAGCUAACGCUUUAAGUACCCCGCCUGGGGAGUACGGCCGCAAGGCUAAAACUCAAAGGAAUUGACGGGGCCCCGCACAAGCGGCGGAGCAUGCGGAUUAAUUCGAUGCAACGCGUAGAACCUUACCUGGGUUUGACAUGGAUCGGGAGCGCUCAGAGAUGGGUGUGCCUCUUUUGGGGUCGGUUCACAGGUGGUGCAUGGCUGUCGUCAGCUCGUGUCGUGAGAUGUUGGGUUAAGUCCCGCAACGAGCGCAACCCUUGUUCACUGUUGCCAGCACGUUAUGGUGGGGACUCAGUGGAGACCGCCGGGGUCAACUCGGAGGAAGGUGGGGAUGACGUCAAGUCAUCAUGCCCCUUAUGUCCAGGGCUUCACGCAUGCUACAAUGGCUGGUACAGAGAGUGGCGAGCCUGUGAGGGUGAGCGAAUCUCGGAAAGCCGGUCUCAGUUCGGAUUGGGGUCUGCAACUCGACCUCAUGAAGUCGGAGUCGCUAGUAAUCGCAGAUCAGCAACGCUGCGGUGAAUACGUUCCCGGG
rnacentral:rRNA from 1 species